CGGGAUAUAGCGCAGUGGUAGCGCAUUUGUUUUGGGAACAAAAGGUCGUGUGUUCGAAUCGCACUAUCCCGA